GAUGAACGCUGGCGGCGUGCCUAAUACAUGCAAGUCGAGCGGACGGACGAGAAGCUUGUUUUUCGGUCGUUAGCGGCGGACGGGAGAGUAACACGUGUAUAACCUACCUAUAAGUCUGAGAUAACUUCGGGAAACCGGCGCUAAUCCCGGAUAAUCUCUUGAACCGCAUGGUGCAAUAGUGAAAGACGGCCUUGCUGUCAGUAAUAGAUGGAUCUGCGCUGCAUUAGCUAGUUGGUAAGUUAACGGCUUAUCAAGGCAAGUAUGCAUAGGCGACCUCAGAGGGGGGUCGGCCACACUGGAACUGAGACGCGGUCCCGACUCCUACGGGACGCCGCAGUAGGGAAUGGUCCGCAGUGGGGGAAAGCCUGACAGAGCGGCGCCACGUGAGAGGUGGAAGUCUUCCGAGCGUAAAGCUCUGUUAUUAGGGAAAAACAUAUUUGUAAGUAGCUGUGCACAUCUUGACGGUACCUAGUCAAAAAGCCCCGGCUAACUACGUG
rnacentral:rRNA from 1 species